GUCCAAAAGAUUUUUGCACCUACCCUAAAGUUACGAAGUGCAAGUGGUUCUUUUGUAAAUGCGUAUGAUGACUAUUAGUUAAGUUUUUUUUUUCUUCUUCUGAUUGUGUAGUAGCCUAGUGGAGAAUUCGGGUUCGAAUUCCAUUCCUUUUAAUAAUGUCUCUUAGCAAUUAUCGACUGAGAUACCGCAAUUGUUAUUGCUUUAUUACUUUGUAGCUUAUAUAAAAAUUUUAUAAGCAUGUCAUGGACCCAUUCUAUACCCUAAUGUGUUUCUGAUUUAUUAAGAAAAAUAAGGACUUUUUGAAUAAACAAUAAGCCUUCAAAUUAAAAGAAAGAUCAAUUUAGCAAUGAAAAAUCACUUUGAUACAAACAAAGAAUUAUCCUCAUGUUAAAAGCAAAGAAAGUCAAGUGGAACCUUCUUUGAUAGACAAUUUUUUUUUCCGAAAGAUUAUCACUAUUAGUCAAUGUUAUUUUUAAUCAAUGAAUUUGUUACUUUUUUUAUAGAGAAUUUGUUACUUUUAGCUACCCAUAUGUUACUUGUUAGGAAUAUUAAUUUUAUUUUAAGUAAUCUAAGAAAUAAAAAUAAUAAUGAAAGGUCGAUAAAAACAAUGAAUAAAUCAACUCUCACGAAUACUAAGAUUAUCAUAAGACUUUUACUAAAAUUAAGUGAUCUAUUGUACGAGUUAAAAAGACAAAUAUAACACAUCAAUAUAUAAAAAGACAUUUAAUAACAAUUAUUAUUUUAGUUCGCAACAAAUUUUUUUUUUUAUUAUUUUAGAAAGAAUUUCAUGCAACUUAUAGGCACAAAAAACAAAUUGAUUGAAAGAGAGCAUAUAUAUGUUCUUUAACAUUAUAAAAUAUAUGAUCAAACAAUUAGUUGUUUAUUACAUGCAAACGACAAAAAAUAUGACUAAAUUUUUUAAAUUUGUUAAUGUUAUGAUCCUUAUUUUUUCAUUAUUUCUUGUUGUAUGCAAUGGUAAUAAACCCUUUCUCUCUCAUUUUUUUGAAAUUAAUUUUUUCUCUUAGACUUAUUUUUCAUCCCUUUUUCUUGUAAUUUAAUUACAUUCUUUUAUUCUUAUUUUACAUGGCAGCAUGGAGGCCACCACCUUUUGUUUGUUAUACUACCAAAGAUUGUCCAGAAGAUUAUUGCUCCCACCCUAAAGUUGUGAUGUGCAAGCGGUUUAUUUGUAAAUGCAUAUGAAUAAUAAGAAAAUAGUACAAAUAAUAAGAUUGUCCAGAAGAUUAUUGCUCCCACCCUAAGGAAUUUGAUUAUACUCUGUCCUUUUUUUUUUAUUUUUUUAUUUUUUUUUACAUUCUAUAAUAGUACAAAUAAUAAGAAAAUAUCUUAUAAUUUUUGUAAUUAUUUUUUAAGAUGGUGUGUUAAAAAGAUAAAAUGUAAUAUUCAAUUAGAAUAUAUAAGG
rnacentral:lncRNA from 1 species